rnacentral:rRNA from 1 species
AGUGAACGCUGGCGGUAGGCCUAACACAUGCAAGUCGAACGGCAGCACAGUAAGAGCUUGCUCUUACGGGUGGCGAGUGGCGGACGGGUGAGGAAUACAUCGGAAUCUACUUUUUCGUGGGGGAUAACGUAGGGAAACUUACGCUAAUACCGCAUACGACCUACGGGUGAAAGCAGGGGAUCUUCGGACCUUGCGCGAUUGAAUGAGCCGAUGUCGGAUUAGCUAGUUGGCGGGGUAAAGGCCCACCAAGGCGACGAUCCGUAGCUGGUCUGAGAGGAUGAUCAGCCACACUGGAACUGAAACACGGUCCAGACUCCUACGGGAGGAAGCAGUGGAGAAUAUUGGACAAUGGGCGCAAGCCUGAUCCAGCCAUACCGAGUGGGUGAAGAAGGCCUUCGGGUUGUAAAGCCAUUUUGUUGGGAAAGAAAAGCAGCAGGUUAAUACCCCGCUGUUCUGACGGUAACCAAAGAAUAAGCACCGGCUAACUUCGUG